rnacentral:lncRNA from 1 species
GAGGCGGGGCGGCCUGCCGUGGUUUCCUGGUCCAGGUACCCCAAGGCCUAGAGCUGAGCUACCUGAGCCAGACUUUUCUUUCCGCCCCAUCUUAACUGUAACUUCUUAGACAUUUGUGAAAACUGGUAAUACACUGCAGACAAUAGUACUUUCCAGUACUUCCCCAUCUUCAAAAUAGACAUCAAGGCAUCAAGAGGAAGAAACCUUUUUAGGCCGGGCGGUGGUGGCGCACGCCUUUAAUCCCAGCACUCGGGAGGCAGAGGCAGGUGGAUUUCUGAGUUCGAGGCCAGCCUGGUCUACAGAGUGCUGGCAAAGGGGGUCGGCUUACAAGACGGAGCUGUCAUUGGAGCAAAGAAGAAAUCAAGUGACAUUUGAGUACAUCAGAGCUCUGCUCUGUUCCAUUAAGAAGGUUCUGCUACGUGGCCUGAGCUGGUCUCCAACUCAUAACCUCGAGGGAACCCAACCAUCCAGUAUAGGUAUGCACCAUCCUGGUUAGCCGAAAGUAGACUUUAUUUCACUGUAUCUUUAAAGAAAUGAGCAAGCUAGCAAAGAAAUCUGUAUGUUGUUACUCCAAGAGAAACAACAGAGAGAGAGAAAGAGAGAGAGAGAGAGAGAGCAUGAGUGAGUAUAGAUAUAAGAGUAAGCACUCACCCUGCAAGCCAGUUGUUUUUCAAACCUUGGAGAAACAAAAGACCAUGGACCCAUGUUCUGCGGCUCCUCCUGACUCCAGAUGACAUCUGCAAAAAGAAGAAGUUGACUUCAACUUUCAAUCAACCAAAAGACUGAUUGUUGCUAAUGUGUGGGACUGGGGAGAGUCCUGACUCCAGACAAUCAAGAUGAGGAGACCUGGGGAUUGAAAGACUUCUUCUUUGC